rnacentral:rRNA from 1 species
UACGUAGGGUGCAAGCGUUGUCCGGAAUUAUUGGGCGUAAAGAGCUCGUAGGCGGUUUGUCGCGUCUGCCGUGAAAGUCCGGGGCUCAACUCUGGAUCUGCGGUGGGUACGGGCAGACUAGAGUGAUGUAGGGGAGACUGGAAUUCCUGGUGUAGCGGUGAAAUGCGCAGAUAUCAGGAAGAACACCGAUGGCGAAGGCAGGUCUCUGGGCAUUAACUGACGCUGAGGAGCGAAAGCAUGGGGAGCGAACAGG